AAUGAGAGAGAAGCUGAAUUUGCCGGUGAACCGAUCAGCUUUGUGUCAGGUCGACUACAGUAUCUUCCUCUCAUUCAGCACAGGUCAGAAGCAGGUGUCAAAUGCCAUUGCAUUGAAGGUGUGAUUGUACUUUGGAUUACAGAAAGAGACGUGAAAUGAGUGGAAGAAGGAGGGGGCAGCCCAACAGAGGUGGAGGGCGAUUUAACAAGCCCAGAGGAGGAGGAGGGAG